rnacentral:rRNA from 1 species
AUGGAUCCAGCAGAAGUUUUGAAUGUCAGAUUCCACUUUGGGGGCGAGUUCAUACGGAUUGGUCCAUCGCUUGAUUAUGUGGGUGGAGAGACUAGAAUGUCGGAGAUUGAGCGGGACAAGCUCUCGUUGCCGGAGCUGAAAGGCUUUUUAGGAGAUCAUAUGAUAGUGAAGGAGAGCAUGAAGUUCCAUUUUUUGUUGCCUGGCAGAGAGUUGAUAAAUGGAUUGCUUUUCUUAUUUGAUGAUGCUGGUUGCAUGAAGAUGUCUGACUGCAUUACAGAUGGAGGGGUUGCUGAAGUAUAUGUGGAGUAUAAUGGUGAGGAGGAUGAACCAGAGGAAGCAGAUAGUGGCUCUGAUUUUGAAGGAGAUGAGCUUGAGGACCUAAUGUGCAUUGGCAGUGAAGAAGAGCCUGAUUUAGUUAUCACUGCAGGAGAUGAGCAUGACAAUGGAAAUGAACAGAGUGGUGGUGCAAGAGGAGAGAUACUUGAACAUAUAGUUGUUCCUAACAAAGAUGGUGUGAUCACACAAGUGAUAAGCAGUCCUUUGAAGAAAAAUGUGAGAAGUGGUUGUGCCAGUCAGUGUUCUCAAGUUGUUAAUCCAACUCAAGCCUAUGAAACAGCAAAUGAUCUGUCCCAAGUUUCUGAAGUUGCACAAAAUGCUGCAGUAGUUGCACGGCAUGCUGCUGUAGUUCCACAAAAUGCUACUACAGUUUCUGAAAAUGCUGCAGUAGUUUCUGAAAAUACUGCAGAAGUUGGACAAGAUGUUGCAGAUUCAUCUGACUCAGAGGACAUUGAGUAUGUGCCACAUACAGAUGACAGUGGGGAAGAAUCAGAGGUAAUUGAGCUGAGAAAGCAUGCAAGAAAAUUUAGGAAAAAGAUGAGAGAUUCCAAGAGGUGGGCUGAUACAGAUUCAACUGGGGCAGUGCCUAUUGAGCUGGUCGCAAAUGUGGAGGAGACUGUACAUGAUAUGGAAUUUGAAUCAUCUGAUGAGGACUACUCAUAUGAUGAAGAUGAAGAUGGGAACAUGGUCAGGAGGAAGAGCAAGUAUAUUAGGUUUAACCCAGAAUCUGACAUUCCACACUUUAGUCUAGGAAUGGUUUUUAGAAGUAAGAAGCAAUUAACCAAAGCUAUAAAGAGGUAUGGACUUGCUACCAAAAGGAGCAUUUCUUUCUUAAAAUCUGAGGAGCAUAGAGUUAGAGCAAAGUGUGAUUGGCCUGGGUGUCCAUGGUUGUUGUAUGCAGCAAAAACAAGUAGGUGUCAUGCGCGUCGCCGUUCAACCUACACUACACAGAAGUCCAGUGUACCGACGACCCCGAUCUGA